CUACGUGCCAGCAGCCGCGGUAAUACGGGGGGUGCGAGCGUUAAUCGGAAUAACUGGGCGUAAAGGGCACGCAGGCGGUGACUUAAGUGAGAUGUGAAAGCCCCGAGCUUAACUUGGGAAUUGCAUUUCAUACUGGGUCGCUAGAGUACUUUAGGGAGGGGUAGAAUUCCACGUGUAGCGGUGAAAUGCGUAGAGAUGUGGAGGAAUACCGAAGGCGAAGGCAGCCCCUUGGGAAUGUACUGACGCUCAUGUGCGAAAGCGUGGGGAGCAAACAGGAUUAGAUACCCUGGUAGUCCACGCUGUAAACGAUGUCGAUUUGGGGAUUGGGCUUUGAGCUUGGUGCCCGUAGCUAACGUGAUAAAUCGACCGCCUGGGGAGUACGGCCGCAAGGUUAAAACUCAAAUGAAUUGACGGGGGCCCGCACAAGCGGUGGAGCAUGUGGUUUAAUUCGAUGCAACGCGAAGAACCUUACCUACCCUUGACAUCCAUGGAAUCUUGUAGAGAUACGAGAGUGC
rnacentral:rRNA from 1 species